rnacentral:rRNA from 1 species
GACGAACGCUGGCGGCGUGCCUAAUACAUGCAAGUCGAACGCACUCUCGUUAGAUUGAAGAAGCUUGCUUCUGAUUGAUAACAUUUGAGUGAGUGGCGGACGGGUGAGUAACACGUGGGUAACCUGCCCUAAAGUGGGGGAUAACAUUUGGAAACAGAUGCUAAUACCGCAUAAAACCUAGCACCGCAUGGUGCAAGGUUGAAAGAUGGUUUCGGCUAUCACUUUAGGAUGGACCCGCGGUGCAUUAGUUAGUUGGUGAGGUAAAGGCUCACCAAGACCGUGAUGCAUAGCCGACCUGAGAGGGUAAUCGGCCACACUGGGACUGAGACACGGCCCAGACUCCUACGGGAGGCAGCAGUAGGGAAUCUUCCACAAUGGACGAAAGUCUGAUGGAGCAACGCCGCGUGAGUGAAGAAGGUUUUCGGAUCGUAAAACUCUGUUGUUGGUAGAAGAACGUAUUUGAUAGUAACUGAUCAGGUAGUGACGGUAU